AUAUAUAUAUAUAUAGGAUCAAAUGUUGAACAGGCAGCAUUCACUGCCAUAAAUCUCUUGACGGGAAACCCCGGAUGACGUACACGUCUCAGACACAGAAAUUGCACUUGUAGUGACACAACCAGGGUUUAUUGAUCUGACGCAGGAUUUUGAAGAACAUGGUCCUAGCACCGGCGAUGCUGAUAGGAUAACAGACGCCCUGCCUACUUACGCAGCAGCGAGAUCUCCAGCUGAACAAAUCAAUACUGCUGAACUGGUAGACCUCACGUCAGAUUCAGAUGAUGAGUCUGAGGUGUGUGUCAAUGUAGCUCCCAGGAAACGGAAAAACAUAGAUGACUCUACACCACACCAAACUCCUCAGGUUAAGCUAAUUAAUGAUAGAGGCAUCUGCUGUGCUGAACAAAUAAUCGACGUCACAUCGGAUUCUGACAUAGAGUCUGACGUUUCCGUCGUUGAACCUCAGAGGAAGCGGAAAAACAUAAGCGGAUCUAAUCUCACACCAAACUCCACAAGAUAGACACAUCAGGAGCGCUGAUGAUAUUUUAACAUGGACGGAAUCACAGGUCGUUGAAUGGGAUCGUUCGUCAUGGACCAGUGAUCGAUACGACGAGGCUACAGUGAGAGCCAGACAGACACCGUAUCCUUUUUACAUUGCUACGAAGAAAGAAGACGAAGAGGAAGAAGAAGUGCGGGAGACGGAGUGCAGAAACGAUGAGCAGUAUGAUGUUUGGACUCUGUUUCGUGAAAUCAAUAAAAGAUUAAAUGAUGAGGCCAUAGCGAGACGUAACAGCACAACUACCAUUAAUAGGCGUUUUGAUUAACUUAAUAGCAGAUUGGAUGACAUUAAUAUCAGAUUGGACGGUCACUUCAAAGAGAAUCAAAACAGAAUCGCCUCUGAAUUUUUAGCGAUUCAUAACAAAUUGGAUUACCAUUUUCAAAUAAAUUGUGACAGAAUAGCGGCAGAGUUUUUUGAAGUUCAUAACAGAUUGAAGCCGGUUAAUGCAUUGGUUCCUGAAAUAUUAGACCACUUAUAUCAGCUGAAUCAGUCAUUAGAGGAAUCUCUCCAUAGAAUGCAGACACGUAUCGAAGAGAAUCAUGAGCGUAUCCUUAGAGAAUUAAAUGAUCAGUUGAGAGAGAGACAAUUAACCGUUAGUCUUCUCAGCGCCAUGGUUACCUGUGUGCAUCCAAGUUAGAAAUGUAUAAUGGAUUAUGUAUUCAAUUCUAUGGUAUUAGUUACAUCUGAUUGUAGUUAUUUUUCAGAACAGAAAUGUCAUAUUUUUUCUGAUUGUCUAUUAUUUGUUUUUUUCUUUAAUUUUGUUUUAUUGCAUAUUAUGUUUUCGCUUUUGACCUAAAAAUAAAGAUUAAAAUGGAUGCAGAGAAAUCUUUUUCCACAGCUGAAGCACCCAACUGUCAACCAGACCAAACUCUCUCAGACUUGUUACAGAGUUUGCUUGAAAUAAACUUACAGAUUUAGCACUUGAUCAGGUCAUCAAACGCAAAAAGAUGUCGUUAUUCUGUCCCGCGAAUAUAUCAAAUAAAUUGUGCUUCUCUAUCUGUCUUGCGCAUUUCCUCAAUCCGCAAUCGCCCGAGAAUGAGUUAGAAAGACUGGAUGCGUCCAUCCAAAAUGACGCAGGCUUCUCAAUUCAAGACAAAAUUGGUUUGGGUGAUUUCAAUUCAUUUGAAAGUCUCUUAGACAUUAAAAUCGUCGUUUUUUACAGAACGAAUGCCGGUGGGUUAGAAACGUACAAAAAUCACAAUGAACCUCAUCCUAAAAUGGUAUGUCUCUAUUUGUACGACGAUCAUUACUAUAGGAUUCUGAAUUUGACCGCAUUCAUCUGCGUUGACUAUGUAUGCAAAUUUUGUUUCAAAGGCUACUCAACCCCUAGAGAUCAUCAAUGCAAGCACGUCUGCAACAUAUGUUUUGAUGCUGAUUGUUACAAACAUCCAGAAAGAACCAUGCAUUGCCCCAAUUGUUUGUGAUUACUGUCAAGUUAUUGUUACAACGCCCAUAAAAAAAACACAUCCUGUAUGGGAAAAAGCACCGUGCGACGCUAUAAAAUAUUGCAGACUGUGUAACAAACGAUACAGCGUCAUAGGUCAUGGUAAGAGUGAUCAACACAAAUGUAGUCCCAACCGUUGCUGCCAUUGUGGCGAAGAUCUGCACGAUCAUGGACUACACCAAUGCUUCAUACAGCCCAUAGUACCCAAAGAACCUAACAAGAAUGACAUUUUUUACGAUUUUGAAACACGUUAUCAAAAUGGAAAACAUAUAGCCAAUUUUGUUUGUGCGAUCACUUUUGAAGGAGAAAAAUUUGUGGCAGAAGGCCCCGGCUGUAUAGCACAGUUAAUCACGCACUUCAGACAGCCGCGAUACAAAGGAUACUGCUUCAUAGCUCAUUGUGCGGCCAGAUUUGAUUCAUUUCUAAUUCUGGAGUAUUUUUGCAAUGCCGGGAUUACCGGGAUUGCGUUAGAUGUCAUAAUCAGGGCUUGACAUUAACUUUUUUGCUCACCAGCCACUGUGGCUAGUGGCUUUCCAAAGUUACUAGCCACUCAGCAUUUUCACUGGCCACAAUUUUGCUGUUGGGAAAUUACAUUUUAUAUGAUUAAAGCUGACUUUGGCAUGCUUAAAUUA